rnacentral:tRNA from 1 species
GGAGUAACAGCUCAGUGGUAGAGCACGUGCUUAGCAUGCAUGAGGUCCUGGGUUCAACCCCAGUACCUCCA